rnacentral:rRNA from 1 species
AUUGAACGCUGGCGGCAGGCCUAACACAUGCAAGUCGAACGAGCGGCGGACGGGUGAGGAAUGUCUGGGAAACUGCCUGAUGGAGGGGGAUAACUACUGGAAACGGUAGCUAAUACCGCAUACCAUCAGCUGUGCCCAGAUGGGAUUAGCUAGUAGGGGGGGUAAUGGCUCACCUCGGCGACGAUUCCUAGCUGGUCUGAGAGGAUGACCAGCCACACUGGAACUGAGACACGGUCCAGACUCCUAUGGGAGGCAGAAGUGGGGUAUAGUGCACAAUGGGCGCAAGUCUGAUGCAGCCAUGCCGCGUGUGUGAAGAAGGCCUUCGGGUUGUAAAGCACUUGCAGCGGGGAGGCGUGACCCGCAGAAGAAGCACCGGCUAACUCCGUGCCAGCAGCCGCGGUAAUUC